rnacentral:rRNA from 1 species
AGAGUUUGAUCAUGGCUCAGGAUGAACGCUAGCUACAGGCUUAACACAUGCAAGUCGAGGGGAAACGACAUCGAAAGCUUGCUUUUGAUGGGCGUCGACCGGCGCACGGGUGAGUAACGCGUAUCCAACCUGCCCAUCACUUGGGGAUAACCUUGCGAAAGUAAGACUAAUACCCAAUGACGUCUCUAGAAGACAUCUGAAAAGAGAUUAAAGAUUAUCGGUGAUGGAUGGGGAUGCGUCUGAUUAGCUUGUUGGCGGGUAACGGCCACGAAGGCGACGAUCAGUAGGGGUUCUGAGAGGAAGGUCCCCCANAUUGGAACUGAGACACGGUCCAAAACGUCCUACGGGAGGCA